GAGUAAUAGAUAAUGUCUCCUUCAUUCAAAUGUUCCAGUAGAAAUUACUGGAGGAAUGGUGGAAAUUUCAGCUAUUUAAUACCAAAUUCUUACGUCAACACUGUCUAAAUCAGAUCAUUGAUCCAUUGGUACGUGCAUUAAUAGGUAGCAUGAUAUUGGAUAAGGAGUAAUUUUAGGGUUAUAAGGUGCAGAUUUGGAGGCUACAUCUGGGGCGUUCCCCCACAUCAUCCAGAUGUUUCCAUUCGUCUUGAGUUCACUGAUUUGAAUAGAGAAGAAAUCUUACCUGCAUUCUGGGUAGAAGCAGAUCAUUCCAUGCAUACAUAUUUUCAUUUUAUUCGCCCGUAUGAAGAACGGGCUACGCAGAACACAAGCAGGAGGAAUGGGAUCAUUACAGGUCAUUAUCAUACACGUCGACGUUGGAUGGCUAAUGAACACUGACGAAGCCAAGAGAAGGACACCCAUCACAGCACAGUGCUUGUCCCACCAGCUUUUUUAGUUACACACAUAAUCAUGAUAAUUAACCAACUGCACAGUGCACACCAGAUCGAACAAUACACGUGGUCUCAUCUAUAUAUACUAGAGACCUUCUUCAUGCAUCACCACCCGCAACGGAACAUCCUGAUAAUCAAGCAGCGGGCUGGGAAGGUGGAGAGAGGAAAGGGAGGGGAGGGGAAGUGGAGGAAGGUGGAGUCGGUGGAAAAGGGAAGAAGGGAACCAAGGGCGGUGUCGGGAAUGUCGGGAAUGGCGGGAUGUUGAACGAGGGAGUAGCCGGCAGUUUACGAGCCGCUCCUGCCGGGCGUAUUUGCGCCGACACCAGCAGAGAAGCGCACACGAGGAUCACCAUGUAUUUGGAAUAGUGUGAUGGUGCCAUGACCGCCAUUGUUUGCCAAUUGGGACUAUCCUGGGCUGCUAUUCGAAGGAAGAGGAAGGAAGGCUUUUUAUAGCAAAAACAAGAAUAUACGAUUCAUCAGGUUGGCCAUG
rnacentral:lncRNA from 1 species